AUUGAACGCUGGCGGCAGGCCUAACACAUGCAAGUCGAACGAAUGGCGGACGGGUUAGUAAUGUCUGGGACCCUGCCUGAUGGAUGGGUAUCACUACUGGAAACGGUAGCCAAUACCGCAUACCAUCAGCUGUGCCCAGAUGGGAUUAGCUUGUUGGUGGGGUACCGGCUCACCAAGGCGACGAUCCCUAGCUGGUCUGAGAGGAUGACCAGCCACACUGGAACUGAGACACGGUCCAGACUCCUACGGGAGGCAGCAGUGGGGAAUAUUGCACAAUGGGGGAAAGCCUGAUGCAGCCAUGCCGCGUGUAUGAAGAAGGCCUUCGGGUUGUAAAGUACUUUCAGCGGGGAGGCGGUACCCGCAGAAGAAGCACCGGCUAACUCCGUGCCAGCAGCCGCGGUAAUUC
rnacentral:rRNA from 1 species